GACGAACGCUGGCGGCGUGCUUAACACAUGCAAGUCGAACGGAAAGGCCCUGCUUUUGUGGGGUGCUCGAGUGGCGAACGGGUGAGUAACACGUGAGUAACCUGCCCUUGACUUUGGGAUAACUUCAGGAAACUGGGGCUAAUACCGGAUAGGAGCUCCUGCUGCAUGGUGGGGGUUGGAAAGUUUCGGCGGGUGGGGAUGGACUCGCGGCUUAUCAGCUUGUUGGUGGGGUAGUGGCUUACCAAGGCUUUGACGGGUAGCCGGCCUGAGAGGGUGACCGGCCACAUUGGGACUGAGAUACGGCCCAGACUCCUACGGGAGGCAGAAGUGGGGAAUAUUGCACAAUGGGCGCAAGCCUGAUGCAGCAACGCCGCGUGCGGGAUGACGGCCUUCGGGUUGUAAACCGCUUUCGCCUGUGACGAAGCGUGAGUGACGGUAAUGGGUAAAGAAGCACCGGCUAACUACGUG
rnacentral:rRNA from 1 species